UAAUUUUUAUUCUGUUGACCGUGAUAUUCGUUUCAACCACUGCAUAUUCAUUCAUUAAAGAAAAACCAAACUUACAGAGUUGUUUAAGGGAAAAAGAUGUAAACAUGAGUAGUCCCUCCUUGGAGACUAAAGGAAGAGACAACAGUGAAGAAACGGACCAAGACGGGAAUAAACUGUAUGACACUGCCUGGCGUUAAUAUGAUAUAGG